GACGAACGCUGGCGGCGUGCUUAACACAUGCAAGUCAAGCGGUAAGGCCCUUUCGGGGGUACACGAGCGGCGAACGGGUGAGUAACACGUGGGUGACCUGCCCUCAGCUCUGGGAUAAGCCUGGGAAACCGGGUCUAAUACUGGAUAUGACUCCAUGACGCAUGUUGUGGGGUGGAAAGCCUUGUGCGGCUGAGGAUGGGCCCGCGGCCUAUCAGCUUGUUGGUGGGGNGAUGGCCUACCAAGGCGACGACGGGUAGCCGGCCUGAGAGGGCGACCGGCCACACUGGGACUGAGACACGGCCCAGACUCCUACGGGAGGGCAGCAGUGGGGAAUCUUGCGCAAUGGGCGAAAGCCUGACGCAGCGACGCCGCGUGAGGGAUGACGGCCUGG
rnacentral:rRNA from 1 species